GUAUUUGCAGGCGCGGUAUCAUCAAGAUUCACAUAAACUCUGUUAAGGGAUUCAUAUUGAGAGUGGAAUAUUUUUUGUUACAAAAUCUAUUUAUAUAUAUAUAUAUUAAUUAUUUCUCGAGAGGUUUCCCUUUCAGAUGGGAAUCUUGAUGAUGCUGCAUCAGCAAAUAU
rnacentral:pre_miRNA from 1 species